UUCUAACCUAUACAACAACAAAGUUUCGCCACAAUAAUAAACCAGUAUCUUUAUGACUUCAAAAUUACAACAUAAAUGACACUACACUUUGUUAACUCUUAACAUUGGGCUAUAUACUACAACCUCCUGCAACAGAAAAUAAAGAUGAAUUUAAAACUUUCAUGCUGUAAAAUAUCAAGACAUAACAUAUAUACAUACAAGAAUGAAUGUGCCGUUUUCUGCAUCAAAAUAUAUUACCUCCUCGUGUAUAAAUUCACAUUUAAACUAACACUAAAACCAGCGCAAACAACCAUCUACCUAACACCAACACGCCUGCGAACCUCUACACAGAUGUAAUGAAUUCCGGCUCCAAUUUGACAACAAGCCAACCACAGCUGAGCAAACGCAGCAAACACAAAUUACAACGAUCUACGAACUAAUCUAAUAAACAAUGACCACAACAUGAAAUGCUCUUCAGAUAGUUGUCUGUCAACCCUCUGUUCCAUGAAAGGACUAAACAUCUUAAAACAUAUCGUCAUUGUGUUCGAGACAAAGUUCAAGAAGGGAUAGUUAGACUUUGAGCAAGCAGCUAACUUCUUCUCAAUCCACUUCAUCCUAAGC
rnacentral:lncRNA from 1 species